rnacentral:rRNA from 1 species
UACGUAGGGGGCAAGCGUUAUCCGGAUUUACUGGGUGUAAAGGGAGCGUAGACAGCAUGGCAAGCCAGAUGUGAAAUACCGGGGCUCAACCCCGGGACUGCAUUUGGAACUGUUAAGCUGGAGUGUCGGAGAGGCAGGCGGAAUUCCUAGUGUAGCGGUGAAAUGCGUAGAUAUUAGGAGGAACACCAGUGGCGAAGGCGGCCUGCUGGACGAUAACUGACGUUGAGGCUCGAAAGCGUGGGGAGCAAACAGG